UUAAGUCUUUAUUUUUGUGCUAUAACUUAUGUUAUAGUAUGUUAAGCAAAAAUUAAAGAUUAAAUUAGUAUUGAAUGAAACUUUGUUUAUAUAUCGAUAAUGACGAUAUAUAUAUUAUGUCUUGACCAAUUACGUGCCAGCAGUCGCGAUAAUACGUAAGAGACUAGUGUUAUUCAUCUUAAUUAGGUUUAAAGGGUACUCAAACGGUCUGUUUCUAUUGAAAGACUAGAGUUAUAUAGAAGAAGGUAGUACCUUAAGUGUAGAGAUUAUAUUCGGUUAUACUGGAGGGACUUAGAAAAGGCGUAGGCAACCUUCUAGGUAAUAACUGACGUUGAAGGACGAAGGCAUAGGUCACGAACAGGAUUAGAUACCCAAGUAGUCUUUGCAGUCAAUGAUGAAUGCCAUAGGUUAGAUAAAAAUUUAGUCUAUAAAUGAAAGUGUAAGCAUUUCACCUCAAGAGUAAUGUGGCAACGCAGGAACUGAAAU
rnacentral:rRNA from 1 species